GAUGAACGCUGGCGGCGUGCCUAAUACAUGCAAGUCGAGCGAACGGACGAGAAGCUUGCUUCUCUGAUGUUAGCGGCGGAUGGGUGAGUAACACGUGGAUAACCUACCUAUAAGACUGGUAUAACUUCGGGAAACCGGAGCUAAUACCGGAUAAUAUUUUGAACCGCAUGGUUCAAAAGUGAAAGACGGUCUUGCUGUCACUUAUAGAUGGAUCCGCGCUGCAUUAGCUAGUUGGUAAGGUAACGGCUUACCAAGGCAACGAUGCAUAGCCGACCUGAGAGGGUGAUCGGCCACACUGGAACUGAGACACGGUCCAGACUCCUACGGGAGGCAGCAGUAGGGAAUCUUCCGCAAUGGGCGAAAGCCUGACGGAGCAACGCCGCGUGAGUGAUGAAGGUCUUCGGAUCGUAAAACUCUGUUAUUAGGGAAGAACAUAUGUGUAAGUAACUGUGCACAUCUUGACGGUACCUAAUCAGAAAGCCACGGCUAACUACGUG
rnacentral:rRNA from 1 species